GUUACCUUUUCCGGGCCACUCGGUGGGGUUUUGCCCCUUAAUGGGCUCAAACAGCGACGAGAUUCCGUCAAAUAUCCAUCCAUACAUCCCAGACAAAUACGAGAAAAUUGUAACGAGGUUUUCAACGCGGGCCAGGACUAUUUCUCCGCAGUUCUACCCUCAGCUGGGAUUCAACCCGUCCCUCAGUAUGUAGUUGAUCUCUGUGCCAGUUACUGUCAACUCUGUCAUCAGUCUGCAAAAACACAAUGGAAAAAAGAAAAUAAUACAGACACUAGAAGAGCAACUCUCGAAGUGCAAUCACGGUCUCCUGCAAUGCCCUCUUCUCCUGUUGCCAGCUCAUGGGAGGAUUAGAUGAUUUAUCCUGGUGGUGCAGUGGAGCAGAGCCAUCUUCAGCAUGAUGCUGCGACUGAC